UUGCUUUCAGCAGCACAUAUACUAAAAAUUGGAACAGUACAGAGAAGAUUAGCAUGGUCGCUAUGCAAGGAUGACACACAAAUUCAUGAAGCAUUCUGUAUUUUU
rnacentral:snRNA from 1 species